rnacentral:lncRNA from 1 species
UCUCUCGCCAACUUCACUCCAAUGAAGUGGCGAUCUACACUUCCGUCCAUAGAGUGCCUCGAAAGGUGCCAUCUUGAUGCUUGCUUGAUAACUGUUGUUAUAAGCAAACUCUGCCAUCGGUAGAUGCUGCGACCAUCCUCCCUGGAAGUCUAUCACACAUGUCCGGAGCAUAUAUCUAAAGUCUGUAUAGUGCACUCUGACUGCCCGUCACUCUGAGGGUGGAAAGCCGUACUGAAGUCUAACCGCGUACCCAAAGCAUCCUGUAAGUUCCUCCAAAAUUAAGAUACAAAUAGGGGGUCUUGAUCUGAUACUAUAGAAGUAGGCACCCCGUGCAGUCGCACAAUCUCGUCCAAGUAAACCUGUGCGAGUCUCUCACCAGUCCAAGUUGUGUGGAUAGGUACGAAAUGUGCCGAUUUCGUCAACCUAUCCACGAUCACCCAAAUAGCAUCAUGCCCGGCUUGUAAGCGGGGCAAUCCGGUCACGAAAUCCAUGGUGAUCUUCUCCCAUUUUCAUACUGGAAUCGGCAAGCUCUACAAUUUUUCCGCGGGAACUCGGUGCUCAGCUUUCACCUAUUGGCAGUUAAACAUCUAGUAACAAACUCACCAACGUUCUUUUUCAUCCCGGGCCACCAAUAAAGUAACUUUAAGUCCUUAUACAUCUUGGUGCCUCCCAGAUGUAUAGCGUACGGUGCUCGGUGUGCCUCUUGAAGAAUUUCUUCUCUAAGUGCCAAUUCCGCCGGUACACAGAUCCGUCCACGAAAACAUAUCAAUCCAUCAUCACCCACAGAAAAGUCACCGGUGCAACCAUUAAUCAUCUUAGCUCGAAUCCUUUGCAACUCCACAGCGGAGACUUGCUUUUCAUUAAUCCUUUCCACAAGUAUAGGUUGCACCACCAAAGUCAUCAGUCUCAAAGGUGUAUCAGGAGCCACCACCUCCAACUACAACCGCUUCAUCUGCUCGAUCAACAGCGGUUGAGUGACCAUAAGCAUCGCUAAGUUUUCCGUCGAUUUCCUACUUAGCGGAUCCGCCACCACGUUAGCCUUGCCCGGGUGAUAAAGUAUCGUCAAAUCAUAAUCCUUGAGUAGCUCCAACCAUCUGCGCUACCUCAAGUUCAAUUCCUUCGAAGUGAAUAAAUACUUUAAACUCUUGUGAUCCGUAUACACUUCGCAUCGCUCGCCGUACAAGUAAUGGCGCCAUAGCUUCAAUGCAAAGACCACGGCUGCCAACUCCAAAUCAUGCGUAGGGUAGUUUCUUUCAUACCCGAUCACUUUCCCGUCCUGCAUCAAAACACAGCCCAAUCCAUUAAAGGAAGCAUCACUAUAAAUCACAUAUCCUGCUCCAGUAGUUGGCAAGGUUAGGAUCGGGGCGGUCAUCAAACUUUGCUUCAACUCUUGGGAGCUCCUUUCACACGGAUCAUUCCAAACAAACUUGGUGCCUUUAUGCGUGAACCUCGUGAGGGGAGUGGAUAACUUUGCAAAUCCCUCAACAAACCGUCGGUAGUAGCCGGCCAAGCCAAGAAAACUCCAAAUCUCUGUGACACUCGUUGGCCUCGGCCAGUCCUUGAUAGUUUCGAUCUUCCUAGGAUCUACAGCUAUACCUGAUCCUGAAAUCAAAUGGCCCAAAAACGCCACCUCUUUAAGCCAAAACUCGCACUUUUUCAAUUUCGCAUAGAGCUCCCUUUCCCGAAGUACUUGAAGUACAAGUCUCAAGUGUUCCUCGUGUUCCGCAUCACUUCGGGAAUAGACCAAAAUGUCGUCGAUGAAUACUACGGCGAAUUUGUCUAAAUAAAGCUUAAAAAAACGGUUCAUUAGAUCCAUAAAAGCGGUCGGGGCGUUAGUAAGCCCAAACAGCAUAACUGUAAACUCAUAAUGUCCAUACCGUGUUCUAAAAGCCGUUUUCGACACAUCCUCAGGCUUGAUCUUCAACUGGUGGUAUCCCGACUACAAGUCAAUUUUGGAAUACACACUAGAUCCCCGGAGCUGAUCAAAUAAAUCAUCAAUCCUCGGUAAUGGAUACUUAUUCUUGAUCGUGACCUUAUUGAGUUCACGAUAAUCCACACACAAGCGAAGCGAUCCAUCCUUCUUCUUGACAAAUAGGACUGGUGCUCUCCAAGGUGACACACUCGAUUGCACAAAACCCUUGUCCAGGAGAUCCUGCAGCUGUGCCUUCAGCUCCUUCAAUUCCGCCGGUGCCAUCCUAUAGGGCGCUCUUGAGAUUGGAGUAGUCCUGGGGACGAGAUCUACCACAAACUCAAUCUCCCUAUCAGGCGGCAUGCCUGGUAACUCCGCUGGAAACACAUCUACAAAUUCCCGCACUACGGGGAUGUCCUCAAUCCUAGGGGCGUCUGCAUCGCCCCACAACACUACAGUAGCCAAGUAGGCUAUGCAGCCUCUGCUGUUCAACUGUCUAGCUCGAGAGGAGCUAAUCGUCAUCGCAAACAGCGAACUCUGGCAUCCUCGGUACACAACCUCCGCCUGCCCCGGCUUUCUAAAUGUCACUGUUCGAUUCUUACAAUCGAUAGUGGCGUAGUAUUUGGUCAACUAGUCCAUGCCCAAAACAAUAUCAAACUCUCCGAGUUUAUGCGAAGCUAGCAAGUCCACGGGCAUGACCCAAUCUCCAACCCGAACAGGGCAAUUGGGGCAAAACUCUCGAAUAUCUAAAGAGUGAUCGGGUACAACAACUCAUCCCAAAUGCAACAAAGAUGUCAGUGGGAUGCCAUGCAACUCGCAAACAGCCGGUUUAUGAAUGAAUGCGAUGCACCGGUAUCAAAUAAUGCUCGUACUCGAAUACCAUAAAGUAAAAUGAUACUUGCGACCACAUUCUCCGCUGCCGCCGCCUCCUCGGUCUGGGCCGCAUACAUGCGCCCGCUCGGGGGCUGCCGUGACCCCUCCAACUGUCCGCUGCACAGGUGGCCGCCCGGCCUGCUGGUGCGCAGAAGGUGUCCCUGGCCGGGACCUGGUGAAGCUGGUGCAGAUGCCGAAGAUGGUGCUGGUGCUGGACCUCUCGGGCAGUCCGACUGGAAGUGGCCCUCCUGGCCUCACAGAUAGCACCUACCCCGACUAUGUGAAUACUGCCGUGGGUAGUGAGGACCACCACAGAUCACGCAGCGCGGUGCCUGGGGACGAUCGGGUCCUCCUCGCUGAGUAAACGAGCCACGUCCUCGCGACUGGCUCCGGCUCCUGGGAUGCCUCGACGGCCUCCGUGAGUGCGUCUGGCUCGCACCCUCAGCCACAGGCCUCUUGCCUUUUCCAUUCUCCAAGCCCUCGCGACGCUCCUGAAGGUCCGUCGCUCCAGCCUCCACGAUGAGUGCACAGUGAAGUAGUCUAGAAAACUCUCUCUCGUACUCGGCCAUGGUCCGCUCCUCCUGGCGUAAACUACGCAAAUCCUGCUCCGUCUUCCUCUGAACGCUAGUAGGGAAGUAGUGCGCUAGAAGAAGCUCCUUGAAUCUUGUCCAAGAAAUCACUGCCAAAUCAGUGUUGGGGUUGUCCUGAAUAUCCAACCACCAACGAUAGGCCUCGCCGUCCAGAUGAUGUGUGGCAAGCCAAACUCUAUCCCGUUCCUCAACGAAGGUAUCUCGAAACAGCUUCUCCAUGUGCAUCAACUACUUCUCAACAAUCCAGUGGUCGACCUUCUCGCCAUCGAAGAUCCUCGGACUGCACCUCCUGAACUCACUGAGGCGAUCCAUGAGCCGAUCCCGCUCGGCUCCCUCGGCCAUCACAGGGAAAGCUGCCCUCGACGCAUGUAUCUGAACCGGUGGUACUGCAGCCACCUCCUCUCGAGGUGGGGUCGCUGGUGCUGCACGCGAAGAACUGGGCGCGGGGAAUUGCGCCCUCGGUGCGACGUCCACUAUAGGUGCUGGCGGUGUGGGAACCUGAGUCUCCCUAGAAGCUGCUGCCUGCUGUAGCAAAAGAUCCUCCAGGUGCUUAAUCCACGCCUCUUGCCGCUAUGCCACCUCGGCCUGUCGCUGAGCGGCCGCCGCCUGCUGCGCUACAAGAUCAGUGAGGACCGCAAGCUGGGUCCUCAAGUCGCGGACCUCGCUAGAUACGGAAGUCGCAGAGGUUUCGACCUCCUCGAGGUGCACCGCAUCAUCCGCUCCGGUAGAUUGGGAGCGUGUAACCGGCAUCAUCACUACAACAUCAUAAAAGCGUAAGUUAGUAAACCCACGCUAUCGAGUCCCCGCUCAAAUAACAAUACCCAAAUCAUGCGAAAGUAAGAAAGUGUUAUUCACAACUAACUCCCGAUGUUACGUUGUCGGCCGCCAACGUAACCCUCCACGGAGUUAGAAGCCAUACACUCCGAUCCAACUCCAACUUUUUAGAGUUAUCAUAAGACCCAAUCAUAAUACUUUCGCUCACAAGUCGGAUAGACCUCGUCUCUCACAAGCCUAUAUCCUAUAGUCCAACCGGCCUAAGGUUUGCUAGGUCCACUAAGACUCAACCCUAGGCUCUGAUACCAAACUAAUCUGUCACGCCCCGGGACCGGCAGAGGCCCCCCCGGUAGCGCACCCAGACCCGCCAUUUGUCUACACAUAUAAGGCGUCUACAACAACAGCGAAAAUAAAGCAAGAGAUGAUCUACAACAAGAGAUAUCAGAACAAGUACACAUCUAUAGUCUAUGAUAAGAGAAGUUGAAACAAACUAAAUAAUAAAGAGGAAACAUAAAGUUAUACAAAAAUCAUCUCAAAAGUACACAAAAUGGGUGGUCUCUAUAACACUGGUACAGCUCUCAACCUCUCCAAAAAGAAAACGACGAGAGGUAGACCACCUAUCAGCGCGUCCCUCGAAGCCAAGCUAGUUCGAGUCCGCGGUCCCUAGCUUCUCCCGGCAUGGAAGGCUCUGAAAUAAAACAUAAAAUAGAGGGCGUGAGAACUAUAAUUUAUAGUUCCCAGUGGGCAAUUACUGACCUCAGCUCAAUGCACCACUAGGCCCAAAAGAAAAGGGUAAGUACGAUAAUAGUAAAAAGAUUGCAUUUAUGAAAGCAUAAUUAAAAUGCUAAGUUACUAUGUCGCAAAUAAACAUGAUAUCAAUAUGUUGUACAUCUACUUUAUUAAGAAGAAGUAUGUCCAAGCAUGACUAAUACGUCCCAACAUAACGAGUAAGUAGGUAUCCUAAUCCACUAUAUCAAUAUAUGACGAAUAUGCUCUAUCAUGGCAACCAAGUAUACUAAGAUGCAACAGGCAAUUUAUUAAAUAUACAACAUGUCUCAACACUAUGCUAUAAGUAUGUCAAAGUAAUCCAACUACUAAUCCUAUCUAGUAGUGAUUGUUAUCUCCCGAUUAAAUGUCAUCGUUUCCAACAUGUUCUAGGACCUACAUAGUGUAGUCUAGCUUGUGCCACCUAAGUGUCGGUGGUAGCUCCAACAUUUUCACUGUAGGAAUGAGUCUAUCCCUCCCGACCACGUAGGUUUCUCGAUACCGCACAAGUGAACAUAAGUCACGUAGGCCAACUCCGGAGUGCCUGCUUGUAGGGAGCGACCCUCACAAGCAUGUGCGAAUGAACAAAAAUGGCAAGCAAGCGUAGCCAACGUCUCACAUACCCAAUCAUCAUGUCUCUAACAUGGCAAUAGUCACUAGCAUCUCAAAUGAUCUAGUUCUAUGUCACAAUGUGAAAUUCCAACAUUCACUAAAUCUAGUGCCCCUUUAUGACACUUAGACCAUUCUAUAAUCAAGUAUGUUCCAGUUCUAAAUCUCUCAAUGGCCCUAUUCACUAGGUUCACACACAACCAGAGCUCAAUACCGCUUUAUGACAUUAGCUCACAAUUUCACAAGUCAAUCUUGUCAUAUGCCUCUUUAUGGCUUAUUAAGAUCCUUUAAGUCUCAUGUCACGCCCCGAGAUCGGCGGAGGCCCUCCCGGUAGCGUGCCCAGACCCGCCAUAUGUCUACAUAUAUAAGGCGUCUAUGAUAAAAGCGGAAGUAAAGCAAGAGAUAGAGUAAAUAGAAUGAAUAGCAACUAAUGAUAUCAGAGCAAGUAAAGUUCUAUCAUCUAGACCAGAGUAAAAAAAACAUAUCUAAACAAUAAAAGCAACUAUAAGUAGUACACUAUCUGUCUCAAAAGUACAAAAAUGGUGGUAUAUAGCACACUGGUAAGACUCUCAACCUCCCACAAAAUAAAGCAACGAGAGGUGGACCACCUAUCGAGUCGUACUCGAAGGAAGCUAGCUCGAAGCAACUCCCUUCCCGCGAUCCCUAGCCUCUCCCGGCGUGGAAGGCUCUGAAAGAAAACAUAAAACAGAGGGUGUGAGAACUAUAAUUUAUAGUUCCCAGUAGGCAAUUACUGACCUCAGCUCAAUGCACCACUAGGCCCAAAAGAAAAGGGUAAGUAACGACAAUAAUAAUAAGCAAUAAUAAGCUAGUACAAGAACUACUGAAAGAAAGCAUAUAUGAAAUGCUAUACUACUAUAUCUCAAAUAAGCAUGAUGUCGUGGUGAUGUACAUCUACGCUAUCAUAAGAAUAAUAUGUCCAAUGCAUACUAAUGUGCCUCAACAUAAUUAAACAAGUAAACCUCACGAUGCAAUAUGUCAAUGCAUAAGGAGCAAGCUCUAGCGAAGUAACCCAGUAUACUAUGAUGCAACGAAUGAAACAGGCAAGUAUACUAUGUAUCCCAAUGCUAUGUCAUGAGCUCGUCAAGUAAUCCAACUACUAAGCCUAUCUAGUAGUGAUCAUUCAUUCUCAACUCUGUGUCGAUUUCCAUUUCCAAUUAAGGACCUACCAAAGGUAGUCCAGCUUGUGCCGCCUAAGUGCCUGUGGUAGCCCAACAUCCCUACUCUUGGAAUGUGUCUGUCCCACUCGACCCCGUAGGCUUCUCAAUACCGCACGAGCGAACAUAAGUCGCGUAGGCUAACUCCGGAGUGCCGGCUUGUAGGGAGCGACCCUCACAAGCAUGUGCGAAUGAGCACAAAUGGCAAGCAAGCAUAGUCCAAGUCUCAAGUAUCCAAUCCUCAUGUCUCUAACAUGGUAUCGUCACUAGCAUCCCGAAGAUCUAGUUUAAGUCACAAAGCGAAGUUCCAAACACUCACUACGCCUAGUGCCUCUUGAUGACACUUAGGCAAUUUGAUGUUCAACAUUAGCCAAGUCCCGCAAUGGCUCUAACCACCAGGUUCACACAUGUCCCGAGCUCGAUGCCGCUUGAUGACAUUAGCUCUCUAAUUCGCACACAUUCUAGUUCAAUACCUCUAUAUGGCAAUCUUGUCAUCUUUCAUGUCAUAAUUAAAUCAAAGUUUAAAUGCAUGAAUCAAGGCUCAUUUACGCUAUGGAAGUAUGGGACCAAGUUUCGUAUAAAAUGCCAAAUGCAAACCAAAGCUCUCUCAAGCAACUCUCUACUACAUAGAGGUCCAAAAUUUUACUAUAUGCAAUAUAGGCAUUUUAAGCAUUCAUAUUUCACAAUAAAUACGUAUAACAAGAAUAUGCAUGCUUUUUCAAUUAACGAUACUUAAUUUAUCACAAAUGAGAAUUUCUCAUUGUGUGGCUAGGUCAAACCCACCGAACCGUCGCGUAGUGCCUCGUUUCACCGAACGAAGUUGUCCAUGAGUCUCAAAAUACCCUAAAAGUAUUGAGCGAAGAGAUACGCGGGCAUUACGAUCAACUAUAAGAUCAAAUAUUAACCAAUAAGACAAAAGGGCUAAAACUCACCUCAAGAGAAGAAAUCUCUUCCAAAGCUCCAAAAGAUAGCUAGAACCCUUACAAUCCAAGCCCAAGGAAGGUUCUAAAUAAACUAAUUUAGCCCCAAAAGCCCUAGAUCAAAAAUGCCCCAAACAAACCUUAAGUCUCCAUUCUCGGGUUCCAAAGGUAAAACUUACCAAAUCAAGGAUCAAAGGGUAGAAUCCGAGUACUAACCUCUCAAGGUGCCUCCAAACUAGCUCCAAAUCUUCUAGGGUUGAAGAUUGGUCCAUCACCAAGCUCUACAAGUAAGCUCCAAGCCUUGCAAGGGUGGAAAGGGGGUCCAUCACCAAGCUCUACAUGUAAGCUCCAAGCCUUGCAAGGGUGGAAAGGGGAGGAAGGGGUUGAGCUCCAAGCUCCCUCAAGUAAGCUCCUCUUCUUCUUCUCCUCCUUCUUCUCUCUCUAGCUAGGGUGUGGAGGGAGUGUGGGGAGAGAAAUGUGGAGGAGAGAGGAUGGGAGGGCUAUUUAGGCCAUCCAAAGUAACAAAAUCCCAAGAGGUCCCCCAAAAAACCAAAAUUACAACAGCCCGGUCUGGGCAGUUUUCGCCCAGAGGGACCGGUCUCUCCCUAGCAGGGACCAGUCUCUCGCUGCGAACCCGAAAAACCAGCGCUCGGGAACCGAUCUCUCCCCGCGCGGGACCGGUCUCUCAUGCGAAGACACGCUCGGGGACCGGUCUCCCCUGCCAGGGACCGGUCUCCCCUGCCAGGGACCGGUUGCUUCAGGGCUGCCACAACACUGCUCACUGGGGGACCGGUCUCUCCUUCCGGGGACCGGUCCCCGAGAGUAAAAACUCUCAGGACUUGUCCAGAAUUCCAGUUUUCAAACUUCUUAAGUCGAAAAAUAAUCUACGACCCUCCACCAAGUGUGGAAAAGCUCGAAACACAUCCAAUCGCUCGAACUUCGCAAAUCGCAAAGGCCUAGUGUGUUACAUUCACCCCUCCUAAAAAGGAGUUUCGUCCGAGAAACUCGAAAUAACAAGUACCUCAAGCCUCCAUCUGAAAAAGAUGGGGAUAGCACUCCCUCAGUGCGCUCUCCAGCUCCCAAGUGGCCUCGCGCUCGUCGUGGUUGCUCCAAAGCACCUUCACGUUGGGAAUCUCUCGGUUCCGCAGUCUUUUUACCUCGCGACCCAAAAUCCUCAAGGAUUGCUCCUCAAAACUCAAAUUAUCCCUCAGCUCCAUAGGCGUAGCAUCCAACACGUGAGCCGGGUCGUGGAUGUACUUCCGAAUGACCGAUACAUGGAAUACGUUGUGUACACCCGAUAGGUUCAGCGGUAGAGCAAGUCUAUACGCUACCGGGCCUACCCGCUCCAAAACCUCAAAUGGUCCAAUGAAUCGGGGGCUCAACUUGGCCCGGAUUCCAAAUCGUCUAAUCCCUCGAGUCGGCGAGACUUUCAAGAAGACGUGGUCUCCGAUCUGAAACUCCAAGUCUCGUCGCCGCCUGUCAGCAUAGCUCCUCUGCCUACUCUGGGCUGUCAACAGUCGCUCCCGAGCAAUACGAACCUUGUCCUCUGCUUCCUGGAGCACAUAAGGGCCUAAAGCCAAUCUAUCGCCAACUUCACUCCAAUGAAGUGGCGAUCGACACUUCCGUCCAUAGAGUGCCUCGAACGGUGCCAUCUUGAUGCUUGCUUGAUGACUGUUGUUAUAAGCAAACUCUGCCAUCGGUAGAUUCUGCGACCAUCCUCCCUGGAAGUCAAUUACACAGGCUCGAAGCAUGUCCUCGAGAGUCUGUAUAGUACUCUCCAACUGCCCGUCACUCUGGGGGUGGAAAGCAGUGCUGAAAUCUAAGCGCGUACCCAAAGCGUCCUGUAAGCUCCUCCAAAAGUGGGAUACAAAACGGGGGUCUCGAUCCGAUACUAUAGAAGUAGGUACCCCAUGCAAUCACACAAUCUCGUCCAAAUAAACCUGUGCGAGUCUCUCACCAGUCCAAGUAGUGUGGAUAGGUAUGAAAUGUGCCGAUUUCGUCAAUCUAUCCACGAUCACCCAAAUAGCAUCAUGCCCGGUCUGUGAGCGAGGCAAUCCCAUCACGAAAUCCAUGGUGAUCUUUUCCCAUUUCCACACUGGAAUCGGUAGGCUCUGCAACUUCCCCGCAGGAACUCGGUGCUCAGCCUUCACCUGUUGGCAAGUUAAACAUCUAGCAACAAACUCGCCAACAUCCUUUUUCAUCCCGGACCACAAAUAGAGUAGUUUCAAAUCCUUGCACAUCUUGGUGCCUCCCGGAUGUAAAGCAUACGGUGCUCGGUGGGCUUCUUGCAGAAUAUCCUCUUUAAUGCCCAAGUACGCCGGUACACAAAGUCGUCUGCGGAAACGCAUCAAUCCAUCACCGUCUAAAGCGAAGUCACUGGUGCAACCAUCAACCAUCUUAGCUCGAAUCUUUUGCAACUCCGAGUCGGAAGCUUGCCUUUCUUUAAUCCUUUCCAAAAGUGUAGGUUGCACCACCAAAGUCAUCAGUCUCAAAGGUGUAUCAGGAGCCACCACCUCCAACUACAACCGCUUCAUCUGCUCGAUCAACGGCGGUUGAGUAACCACAAGCAUCGCUAAGUUCUCAGUCGAUUUCCUACUUAGCGCAUCAGCCAUCACGUUAGCCUUGCCUGGGUGGUAAAGUAUCGUCAAAUCAUAAUCCUUGAGUAGCUCCAACCACCUGCGCUGCCUCAAGUUCAACUACUUCUGAGUGAAUAGAUACUUUAAGCUUUUGUGAUCCGUAUAUACUUCGCAUCGCUCGCCGUAUAAGUAGUGGCGCCAUAGCUUCAAUAAAAAGACCACGACCGCUAACUCUAAGUCGUGAGUAGGGUAAUUCCUUUCAUAAUCCUUCAGUUGGCGAGAUGCAUACGCGAUCACCUUCCCGUUCUGCAUCAAAACACAGCCCAAUCCAUUAAAGGAAGCGUCACUAUAAAUCACAUACCCUGCUCCAGCAGUCGGCAAGGUUAGGAUCGGGGCAGUCGUCAAUCUCUGUUUCAGCUCUUGGAAGCUUCUUUCAUACGCAUCAUUCCAAAUAAAUUUGGUGCCUUUAUGCGUGAGCCUCGUGAGGGGAGUAGAUAACUUUGCAAACCCCUCCACGAACCGUCGGUAGUAGCCGGCCAAACCAAUGAAGCUCCGUAUCUCGGUCACGCUUGUCGGCAUCGGCCAAUCCUUGAUAGCUUCAAUGUUUCUCGGGUCCACGGCUAUGCCUGAUCCAGAAAUCAAAUGGCCCAAAAACGCCACCUCUCUAAGCCAAAAUUCACACUUUUUCAACUUAGCAUAGAGCUUCUUUUCCCGAAGCACUUGAAGUACAAGUCUCAAGUGUUCCUCGUGAUCCACAUCACUCCGGGAAUAGACCAAAAUGUCGUCGAUGAACACCACGACGAACCUGUCUAAAUAUGGCUUAAAAACACGGUUCAUUAAAUCCAUAAAAGCCGCCGGGGCAUUAGUAAGCCCAAACGGCAUAACAGUAAACUCAUAGUGUCCAUACCGUGUUCUGAAAGCCGUCUUCGACCCAUCCUCAGGUCUGAUCCUCAACUGGUGAUAUUCCGACUACAAGUCAAUCUUGGAAUACACAUAAGAUCCCUGGAGCUGAUCAAAUAGAUCGUCGAUCCUCGGCAAUGGAUACUUGUUCUUGAUCGUGACUUUAUUAAGUUCACGAUAAUCCACGCACAAGCGAAGUGAUCCAUCAUUCUUCUUAACAAACAAGACCGGUGCUCCCCAAGGCGACACACUCGGUCGCACAAAACCUUUGUCCAGAAGAUCCUGCAACUGUGCCUUCAACUCUCUCAAUUCAGCUGGUGCCAUCCUAGAGGGUGCCUUUGAGAUUGGAGUAGCCCUGGGAAUGAGAUCUACCACAAACUCAAUCUCCCUAUCAGGUGGCAUGCCUGGAAGCUCUGCUGGGAACACGUCUCCAAACUCCCGUACUACGGGAAUAUCCUCAAUUCUAGGGGCGUCAUCCUCACCCCGCAACACAACAGUAGCCAAGUAGGCUACGCAGCCUCUACUAAUCAACUGCCUAGCUCGAGAAGAGCUAAUCGUCAUCGCAAAAAGCGAACUCUGGCAUCCUCAGUACACAACCUCUGCCUGCCCCGGCUCUCUAAAAGUCACCAUUCGAUCCUUGCAAUCGAUAGUGGCAAAAUACUUGGUCAACCAAUCCAUGCCCAACACAACAUCAAACACCCUGAGUUUAUGCAAGGCUAGCAAGUCCACGGGCAUGAUCCAAUCUCCAACCCAAAUAGGGCAGCUGGGGCAAAACUCUCGAAUGUCCAAAGAGUGAUCGGGUACAACAACUCGUCCCGGAUGCAACAAGGAUACAAGUGGGAUGCCAUGCAACUCGGCAAACAGCCGGUCUAUAAAUGAAUGCGAUGCACCAGUAUCAAAUAAAGCUUUAACUCGAAUACCAUAAAGUAAAAUGAUACCUGCGACCAGAUUCUCGGCUGCUGCUGCCUCCUCAAUCUGGGCAGCAUACAUGCGCCCACUCGGGGCCUGUCGUGACCCCUCCGCCUGUCGCUGAACAGGUGGCCGUCCUGCCUGAUGAUGCGCAGAAGAUGUCCCCUGACUGGGACCUGGCGAUGCUGGCGCAGAUGCCGAAGAUGGCGCUCGCGCUGGACUCCUCGAACAGUCCGACUGGAAGUGGCCCUCCUGGCUACACAAAAAGCACCUGCCCCGGCUGCGGGAACACUGUCGUGGGUAAUGGGGACCACCACAGAUCACGCAGCGGGGAGCCUAACGACGAUCAGGUCCUCCUCGCUGAGUAGACUGGCCACGUCCUCUCGGUGGCCUCCGUGAGUUCGCUUGGCUCGCACCCUCAGCCGCGGGCCUCUUUUCUUUGCCCUUGUCUAGGGCCUCGCGUCGCUCCUGAAGGUCUGCCGCUCCAGCCUCCACAAUAAGUGCACGGUCCACAACUUCUCGGUAUGUUUGGAGGUUAGAGGACUGCACCAACCGAAAGAUCGAAGGUCGCAAUCCACGCUCAAAAAUGCGGGCCUUGUCCUCGUCAUCCCGCACCACAAAAGGCACACAAUGGAGUAGUCGAGAAAACUCCCUCUCGUACUCGGCCACAGACCGCUCAUCCUGGCACAAGUUGCGCAAGUCCUUCUCCAUCUUCCUCUUGACGUCGGUCGGGAAGUAAUGCGCCAGAAGAAGCUCCUUGAAUCGCGUCCAAGUGAUUGCUGCCAAGUCGGUAUUGGGGUUGUCCUGGAUAUCCAACCAUCAACGGUAGGCCUUGCCGUCCAGAAAGUGAGUGGCGAGCCAAACUCUGUCCCGCUCCUCCACAACGGUAUCUCGAAAUAGCUUUUCCAUAUGCAUCAGCCACUUCUCAACAAUCCAGUGGUCGGCGUUCUCGCCAUCAAACGUCCUCGGGCUGCACCUCCUGAACUCACUGAGGCGCUCCAUGAGCCGAUCCCGCUCGGCUUCCUCGGCCAUCACGGGGAAUGCCGCCCCUGUCGCCGGUCUCUGGAUUGGUAGUGCCGCAACCACCUCCUCCCGAGGUGCAGUCGCCGGUGCCGCACGUGAAGAACUGGGCGCGGGGGACUGCGCCCUCGGUGCGACGUCCACCACGGGUGCUGGCGGUGUGGGACCCUGGGUCUCCCUCGAAGCUGCUGCCUGCUGAAGUAGGAGGUCCUCAAGAUGCUUCAUCCGCGCCUCCUGCCGCUGAGCCACCUCAGCCUAUCGCUGCGCCGCU